rnacentral:rRNA from 1 species
CCAACGGGCGGCAGCAGUAGGGAAUAUUGGUAAUGUGCGAAAGCGCGAACCAGCAACGCCGCGUGCACGAUGAAGGCCUUCGGGUCGUAAAGUGCUUUUAGAGAGGAUGAGGAAGGACAGUACUUUCUGAAUAAGCCUCGGCUAACUACGUGCCAGCAGCCGCGGUAAAACGGAGGAGGCAAGCGUUAUCCGGAUUUACUGGGCGUAAAGCGCAUGCAGGUGGUCUGGCAAGUCUGAUGUGAAAGCUCCGGGCUUAACUGGGAGAGGUCGUUCAAAACUGCGGGACUAGAGAGUGGUAGAGGGAGGUGGAAUUCCGGGUGUAGUGGUGAAAUGCGUAGAUAUCCGGAGGAACACCAGUGGCGAAAGCGGCCUCCUGGACCACUUCUGACACUCAGAUGCGAAAGCUAAGGUAGCAAACG